GGCCCCAUAGUUCAAGGGAUAGAACGGAAGUUUCCUAAACUUUAAAUCCAGGUUCGAGUCCUGGUGGGGCCACCA
rnacentral:tRNA from 1 species